GAUGAACGCUGGCGGCGUGCUUAACACAUGCAAGUCGAACGAUGAAGCCCAGCUUGCUGGGUGGUUUCGUGGCGAACGGGUGAGUAACACGUGAGUAACCUGCCCUUAACUCUGGGAUAAGCCUGGGAAACUGGGUCUAAUACCGGAUAGGAGCGUCCAUCGCAUGGUGGGUGUUGGAAAGAUUUAUCGGUUUUGGAUGGACUCGCGGCCUAUCAGCUUGUUGGUGAGGUAAUGGCUCACCAAGGCGAUGCCGGGUAGCCGGCCUGAGAGGGUGACCGGCCACACUGGGACUGAGACACGGACCAGACUCCAACGGGAGGCAGCAGUGGGGAAUAUUGCACAAUGGCCGCAAGCCUGAGGCAGCGACGCCGCGUGAGUGAUGACGGCCUUCGGGUUGUAAACCUCUGUCAGUAGGGAAGAAGCGAAAGUGACGGUACCUGCAGAAGAAGCACCGGCUAACUACGUG
rnacentral:rRNA from 1 species